GCACCCUGCUCUCUCUCUCUCUCUCUCUCUCCUUUCUCCUCAUCUUCAUCUCUCUCCGCCCCAUUUAGCAAAACCCUACUUCCCUUUAGCCAUGACAGUUUUGCCUAUGCCAUUUCCACACCGAAAUUGUCGCUACGCCUGAGCUUUCUGUCGUUGACAGAGAAUUUUUUUUCCCCUUUUUACUUCAAGACGCGUUGAUCCUCAAAAUCAGAGAAUAGUCGAACUAUUUUUGGUAACACCGAAUCGAAUCACGUGGCCAUCUGCUCAAAAACACUUUCAACGUUCAGAUUUGAAUGGUCCAUUUGACUCGAUUUGAAUCCUAUACCAGAAAAUCCCGCCCAAUUCGAACCAUAGCAAACCCUAGGGAUUCUACUAUAAAUAUUCACUUCGUUACCCAUUUGAGGGAGUUCUUUUUCAGCCGCCUUGAAAUAUCUAUAUUUUUCAUCACUAUAUCUCGGAUAUAUUCAUUUGAAAUAUUGAGGGGUUUACUCUUUCGAUUCUGCUGUUGCUUUGAAAUCGAGUGUAGAUCGGAGAUUUACAGCCCCGUUCACUGCACCCGAACAAGUGGAGGUCAUGCAUUUUGCUACAUCAAAUGACAAGUGUUGUAGCAAAAUUAAGAAGAUAGUUGUUUCUCUUUCACAAUUUCCUAGGUACAACAGCAGUAGUGCUGAACUUUCUUCGAGAUUUUCUUCGUGCGACUCUCAUGAAAUAUAUAAAUCCGCUAGUCUUCAGCAUUGGUACAAGAAUUGGAAUGAAUUGAGAAAGCAUAAACUUACAGCUAGCACUUUUGGUCAAGCUGUUGGUUUUUGGCCUAAGCGUAGAGUCCAACUCUGGUUGGAGAAAAUUGGGGCGGUUGAACCCUUCUGGGGUAAUGAUUCCACAGCUUGGACUAACAUCAAGGAACAGGAGGCUCUUGUAAGAUAUAAGCUAAUUACUGGAAAUCCUAUCUCUUUUACUAAUUUUAACGUCUAUCGGGAAAUGAACAAGGGGGUUGACUGGCUUGGAGCUUCCGCAGAUGGUGUGGUUGACAAGUUUGUUUAUCAUUUACCAUCCAGAGGGGUUUUGGAGAUCAAGUGCCCGUACUUCAACGGUGAUAUGACUAAGGCGACUCCUUGGAAAAGAAUUCCCAUUUAUUAUGUUCCACAAGCUCAGGGUUUAAUGGAAAUAUUGGAUCGAGACUGGAUGGACUAUUAUGUUUGGACUACCAAAGGAAGCAGUUUGUUUAGGAUGCAUCGCGAUGGAGAAUAUUGGCAACUCUUGAAGAUUGCACUUUCUGACUUCUGGUGGAACCAUGUCCAGCCAGCAAAGGAGUUGUGCAAGAGAUCGCACAUUAAAAAUCCCCUUGUUGAACUUGCGUCCUAUAAGCCAGGACCUAAGCAUGAAUUGUUCCGGUCUAUUAUCUAUGAAAGUAGGCGUGUGCUUGACAAUUCCACGUUGCUUAUGCGUGAAAUUGAUGGAAAAUUACAGAACUGAGGUACCUUUGGAGUAUCUGUUUGCAUAUUUAAACACCAACUAACCAAGAGAUGCUGGUUGGGAAGUCACAUCAUGUGACUCACAUGCAUUGGCCUGAGUCAGUUGAGCAAAUGAAUUUCUUCAAUGGCCAAAGUGAAGGCAGCUGCUAGGGCAGAGUUGGAACUAACUUUUAUGGAGAAGCUAAGUUUAUCGCUGUUGCGGACACGGGCAACAUUCAAAUAGGAGAGGGAAGUGGUGACUGCAGAAUGAGGGUGCACAUGUGUUGUUGUGUUUUCAGUGGUUGCGCCAACUGGAAGACCUACACCAAGGCACUGCCGAAAUCGUAGCACCCGUUGCUGAUUGUGAUUCAAUUACUUGAUUUUGAAGGAAAAUAACUUUGAAAUUAGGUGAUGAAUUUUUGGGGAUAAUUGCAUAUACUAUUCUAUCUUUGGAAUAUGCUUCCGGGAAGUGAACAAUUUACUGAAAAAUUAGAAUGAUGACUUCAUUGUUAAGCUGAGGAAAACUGAAUCAAUGCUUCCAAGAGUCAGGAAAGUGCUGGCUCACUUUCGUCAAACUAAUGGAAGAAGCCCCAACAUUAAUUUUGGAUGAGAUCUUUUGGGCAUGAUGGAUGUCAAAGCAAAUAGUCCUAAUUGUUUGUGUAGUAGUUGCCACCGUGUUUCUACUAUCCACUGGGGUCUUUCCUUUGCUGCUGAGUAGAACGAGUAAAAGGAUAGCCAGUUAUGAUCUUAUAUAUACCUUUAGUACAAUUCAAGUCCUAUGAUGAGUUGAGUUCCAUUAUUUCCUAAAUUCUGAAUAGAUGUAAUUUAGUAUAGUUUUCUAAUUGUCUUAUCCAUUCCUCUUAAUUUGUAUUUUUAACUGCAUGAGGUAAAUAUCUCUCGCUCUCUCUGUCAAAUAACAGUAUUACAUUUUCCUAUUAAUUUCAGGGCAUAUGAUCAUGUUGCUAUUAAAUUUAGAAGACUGGAUGCGGAGAUAGAUUUCAAUGUCUUCUCCUUUUUAUCGAGUUCUUUCAUUAACAGUUGGAAGCUCAUAUCUCAAGUGACGAGUCCAAACAAGCUCACUUGUGGACUGAAUGAGAUCAUGCUUGAAGUUGAUGCAGACAAAGUUACACUUUUCUACUUUUCUCCAAUUAGUGACCCUGCUUAUUUUCCGAGCUUUUUUCUUAUAAGAUCCUUCUUUUUCUUCUUAAUAGUCUAUCAUAGUAGAUAAGACAUAAGACGUGUAUAGCGAUUGUUUGCAUUAUAUUUUUAUUAGAAGCUCAGUCGACUGCUCUUUCUAUUUCUCAUGACAAACAUGUUGGUUAUUUGUACGUUCGUAUUGGUUACCGUAUUCAAAUAAUCAAAUGUGUCAUCUUCCAAUUAUUUUUUUUUAAAUUUUUUGCUUGAGAUAGUUAUAUCUGGUAUGCCCCCUCUUCUUUAUCAGGUAUCACAGCGAUAUGCCAAUACAUUUUCUCAAUGGAAAGAAUACUUCAACAGUUAUUCAUGGUAUG